rnacentral:rRNA from 1 species
CUACGGGAGGCAGCAGUGGGGAAUAUUGGACAAUGGGGGCAACCCUGAUCCAGCCAUGCCGCGUGAGUGAUGAAGGCCUUAGGGUUGUAAAGCUCUUUCGUUGGGGAAGAUAAUGACGGUACCCAAAGAAGAAGCCCCGGCUAACUUCGUGCCAGCAGCCGCGGUAAUACGAAGGGGGCUAGCGUUGCUCGGAAUCACUGGGCGUAAAGCGCACGUAGGCGGCUUUCUAAGUCAGGGGUGAAAUCCCGGAGCUCAACUCCGGAACUGCCCUUGAUACUGGAAGGCUCGAGUUCGGGAGAGGUGAGUGGAACUGCGAGUGUAGAGGUGAAAUUCGUAGAUAUUCGCAAGAACACCAGUGGCGAAGGCGGCUCACUGGCCCGAUACUGACGCUGAGGUGCGAAAGCGUGGGGAGCAAACAGGAUUAGAAACCCCGGUAGUCC